AAAUUGAAGAGUUUGAUCAUGGCUCAGAUUGAACGCUGGCGGCAGGCCUAACACAUGCAAGUCGAACGGUAACAGGAAUCAGCUUGCUGAUUCGCUGACGAGUGGCGGACGGGUGAGUAAUGUCUGGGAAACUGCCUGAUGGAGGGGGAUAACUACUGGAAACGGUAGCUAAUACCGCAUAACGUCGCAAGACCAAAGAGGGGGACCUUCGGGCCUCUUGCCAUCGGAUGUGCCCAGAUGGGAUUAGCUAGUAGGUGGGGUAACGGC
rnacentral:rRNA from 1 species